CUGAACCUUCGGGGAACGACAACGGCGUCGAGCGGCGGACGGGUGAGUAAUGCCUGGGAAAUUGCCCUGAUGUGGGGGAUAACCAUUGGAAACGAUGGCUAAUACCGCAUAAUAGCUUCGGCUCAAAGAGGGGGACCUUCGGGCCUCUCGCGUCAGGAUAUGCCCAGGUGGGAUUAGCUAGUUGGUGAGGUAAUGGCUCACCAAGGCGACGAUCCCUAGCUGGUCUGAGAGGAUGAUCAGCCACACUGGAACUGAGACACGGUCCAGACUCCUACGGGAGGCAGCAGUGGGGAAUAUUGCACAAUGGGCGCAAGCCUGAUGCAGCCAUGCCGCGUGUAUGAAGAAGGCCUUCGGGUUGUAAAGUACUUUCAGCAGUGAGGAAGGUGGUAGUGUUAAUAGCACUAUCAUUUGACGUUAGCUGCAGAAGAAGCACCGGCUAACUCCGUGCCAGCAGCCGCGGUAAUACGGAGGGUGCGAGCGUUAAUCGGAAUUACUGGGCGUAAAGCGCAUGCAGGUGGUUUGUUAAGUCAGAUGUGAAAGGCCCGGGGCUCAACCUCGGAAUUGCAUUUGAAACUGGCAGACUAGAGUACUGUAGAGGGGGGUAGAAUUUCAGGUGUAGCGGUGAAAUGCGUAGAGAUCUGAAGGAAUACCGGUGGCGAAGGCGGCCCCCUGGACAGAUACUGACAAUCAGAUGCGAAAGCGUGGGGAGCAAACAGGAUUAGAUACCCUGGUAGUCCACGCCGUAAACGAUGUCUACUUGGAGGUUGUGGCCCUGAGCCGUGGCUUUCGGAGCUAACGCGUUAAGUAGACCGCCUGGGGAGUACGGUUGCAAGAUUAAAACUCAAAUGAAUUGACGGGGGCCCGCACCAGCGGUGGAGCAUGUGGUUUAAUUUGAUGCAACGCGAAGAACCUUACCUACUUUUGACAUCCCAAGAAAUCCUCAGAGAUGCAAGGGUGCCUUUGGGAACUUUGAGACAGGUGCUGCAUGGCCGUUGUCAGCUUGUGUUGUGAAAUGUUGGGUUAAGUCCCGCAACGAGCGCAACCCUUAUCCUUGUUUGCCAGCGAGUAAUGUCGGGAACUCCAGGGAGACUGCCGGUGAUAAACCGGAGGAAGGUGGGGACGACGUCAAGUCAUCAUGGCCCUUACGAGUAGGGCUACACACGUGCUACAAUGGCGCAUACAGAGGGCAGCCAACUUGCGAAAGUGAGCGAAUCCCAAAAAGUGCGUCGUAGUCCGGAUUGGAGUCUGCAACUCGACUCCAUGAAGUCGGAAUCGCUAGUAAUCGUAGAUCAGAAUGCUACGGUGAAUACGUUCCCGGGCCUUGUACACACCGCCCGUCACACCAUGGGAG
rnacentral:rRNA from 1 species